CCUACGGGAGGCAGCAGUGAGGAAUAUUGGUCAAUGGGCGCGAGCCUGAACCAGCCAAGUAGCGUGAAGGAUGACUGCCCUACGGGUUGUAAACUUCUUUUAUAAAGGAAUAAAGUGAGGCGCGUGUGCCUUUUUGUAUGUACUUUAUGGAUAAAGAUUGGGUAACUCCGUGCCAGGCGCCGCGGUAAUACGGAGGGUCGGAGCGUUUUCCGGGUUUGUUGGGUUUAAAGGGAUCGGAGAGGGGUAGUUAAAUCAGUUGGGAAAGUUUGCGGCUCAACCGUCAAAUUGCAAUUGAUACUGGCAGUCUUGAGUACAGGUGAGGUAUGCGGAAUGCGUGGUGUAGCGGUGAAAUGCUUAGAUAUCACGAAGAACUCCGAUUGCGAAGGCAGCUUACUAAACUGCCACUGACACUGAUGCUCGAAAGUGUGGGCAUCAAACAGGAUUAGAUACCCGAGUAGUC
rnacentral:rRNA from 1 species